AUUGAACGCUGGCGGCAUGCUUUACACAUGCAAGUCGGACGAGUGGCGAACGGGUGAGUAACGCAUCGGAACGUACCGAGUAAUGGGGGAUAACUGUCCGAAAGGACAGCUAAUACCGCAUAUUAUUCGAGCGGCCGAUGUCUGAUUAGCUGGUUGGCGGGGUAAAGGCCCACCAAGGCGACGAUCAGUAGCGGGUCUGAGAGGAUGAGCGGCCACACUGGGACUGAGACACGGCCCAGACGCCUACUGGAGGCAGCAGUGGGGAAGUGUGUACAAUGGGCGCAAGCCUGAUCCAGCAAUGCCGAGUGUCUGAAGAAGGCCUUCGGGUUGUAAAACUCUGUUAUUAGGGAAGCGGUACCUAAUCAGAAAGCCACGGCUAACUACGUGCCAGCAGCCGCGGUAAUAC
rnacentral:rRNA from 1 species